rnacentral:lncRNA from 1 species
GUUAUUGUUUACUAUUUGUCCUACAUGUUUGUUUAAUAUUGGACUUACAAACACACGGAAAUAUCAGGUGCUUCACUGCACCUUCAAGCGUUUUUCCAAUAAACAACAUAAAAUUUCUAAAUACAUUUAAAUUUUCGUAUUUCUAUAAAAUGUUACUAAUAAACGAUUUUGGCACAUUCUGUAUUUAAUUUGAGUGAAACGAUUCGAAGAGUUUAAAAAGACUUUUAUAUAUUAAUUCGUGUAAAAGUAUGAUUAAGCUGAAGUCUAUUAUCAAUUCAAGGCGUGUUAAUUUGUCCUAGUUUAGAUAAAAAAAAAAUUAAAACAAAAGGAUAAAUUUUUAAUGACUCGGAGUUCCUUCAGACACUUGUCAAAAACAAGAAGAUCAAAGCAGCCAUGUUAUUUGAUUCCACUUUCAGAUAUAUUGAUGAUAUUCUUUCCGUUAACAUCAUUGGGUUCCAUUAAUAUAUCCCCAAGACCUAGAAAUUAAAGAAACAACAGACGCAGCUUCCUCUGUCUCAUUUUUCGACUUAUAUUUCGAAUUUGACAUAUCUCAGUACUAGACUUUAUGACAAAUGAGAUGAUUUUUAUAUGUUGUGUCAUUUGUACUAUUGUUUGUUUAUCUUUUUCAUUUUUAGCCAUGGCGUGUUUUAGAUUUGUGAGUUUGACUGUCCCUUUGAUAUCUUUCGUCCCUCUUUUAUAUUAGAAUGAUAAAUUUUCCGCACCUUAGUAGCAAUAUACCAACUUCACCUGCAUAUCAGAUAAAAAUUUCCCAACUUAUUCGGUAUUCAAGAGCUUGUAACUCCUACUCAGACUUUGUAAAAACGUCACCAGUGUCUGAGCAGAAAGUUGAUGAACAGGGGUAUGUCAAAGAAUAUCUCGUCCCUUUUCUAAAGAAAUUAUCGGAAGGUACCAAGCCCUUGUUGAUUAAUAUCCCGCAUCAACUUCACAAAUAAUACACGAUGGUCUUGAAGUAAAGAUUCCGCGUAUUGACGUUGUUUA